UUGAACGCUGGCGGCAUGCCUUACACAUGCAAGUCGAACGGUAGAGGAGCAAUCCUCGAGAGUGGCGAACGGGUGAGUAAUGUAUCGGAACGUGCCCAGUAGUGGGGGAUAGCCCGGCGAAAGCCGGAUUAAUACCGCAUGAUACCUGAGGGUGAAAGCGGGGGAUCGCAAGACCUCGCGCAAUUGGAGCGGCCGAUAUCAGAUUAGCUAGUUGGUGGGGUAAAAGCCCACCAAGGCCACGAUCUGUAGCUGGUCUGAGAGGACGACCAGCCACUCUGGGACUGAGACACGGCCCAGACUCCUACGGGAGGCAGCAGUGGGGAAUUUUGGACAAUGGACGAAAGUCUGAUCCAGCCAUGCCGCGUGCGGGAAGAAGGCCUUCGGGUUGUAAACCGCUUUUGUCAGGGAAGAAACGGCUCGCUCUAAUACAGUGGGCUAAUGACGGUACCUGAAGAAUAAGCACCGGCUAACUACGU
rnacentral:rRNA from 1 species